UAACUGGCGCGGCCUACACAUGGCAGUCGUAACAUGAUAACUCGGCUUGCUUAGCGGAUUAGUGGCGAACGGGUGAGUAACACGUGAGUAACCUGCCCUUGACUCUGGGAUAAGCGUUGGAAACGACGUCUAAUACCGGAUAUGACCUUCGGAGGCAUCUCCUGGGGGUGGAAAGAUUUUUUGGUCAAGGAUGGACUCGCGGCCUAUCAGGUUGUUGGUGAGGUAAUGGCUCACCAAGCCUACGACGGGUAGCCGGCCUGAGAGGGUGACCGGCCACACUGGGACUGAGACACGGCCCAGACUCCUACGGGAGGCAGCAGUGGGGAAUAUUGCACAAUGGGCGAAAGCCUGAUGCAGCAACGCCGCGUGAGGGAUGACGGCCUUCGGGUUGUAAACCUCUUUUAGUAAGGAAGAAGAACUUCGGUCUGACGGUACUUGCAGAAAAAGCACCGGCUAACUACGUGCCAGCAGCCGCGGUAAUACGUAGGGUGCAAGCGUUGUCAGGAAUUAUUGGGCGUAAAGAGCUCGUAGGCGGUUUGUCGCGUCUGCUGUGAAAACUGGAGGCUCAACCUCCAGCCUGCAGUGGGUACGGGCAGACUAGAGUGCGGUAGGGGAGAUUGGAAUUCCUGGUGUAGCGGUGGAAUGCGCAGAUGUCAGGAGGAACACCGAUGGCGAAGGCAGAUCUCUGGGCCGUAACUGACGCUGAGGAGCGAAAGCAUGGGGAGCGAACAGGAUUAUAUACCCUGGUAGUCCAUGCCGUAAACGUUGGGAGCUACAUGUAGGGGCCAUUCCACGAUUUCUGUGUCCAACUAACGCAUUAACUUCCCGCCUGGGAGUC
rnacentral:rRNA from 1 species